AGGGCAAUCUGGGAAAGUGGCCAAGCACGGUAUUAGGGAGCGAUGCACCCAGCCACAGCCUGCUGGAGGCAGCAGACCUCACCUUCCCCGGGCACUGGAUCAGGCUGUGCUGCUAUUCAAAAUGCUGCUGAGGAGCCAUGUAUUUAUUUUUUACAGUUUGCAGUGCCAAGGAAAUAUCGCUUGUGACAGUGGAAACAAAUCAAGCCUGAAGUGGUUAUUCAGCAUGGAGAAUCAGAGCUGGUUCCUCUAACACUGAAAAAUGUGGAAUUUAUUUCAGUGCUUAAUUGAUGAUUUCAAU
rnacentral:lncRNA from 1 species